GAUGAACGCUAGCGGCAGGCUUAAUACAUGCAAGUCGAGGGGCAGCAUGAGUGUAGCAAUACAUUUGAUGGCGACCGGCAAACGGGUGCGGAACACGUACACAACUUUCCUAUAAGUGGGGAAUAGCCCAGAGAAAUUUGGAUUAAUACCCCGUAACAUAAUGAUGUGGCAUCACAUUAUUAUUAUAGCUUCGGCGCUUAUUGAUGGGUGCGCGGCUGAUUAGAUAGUUGGCGGGGUAACGGCCCACCAAGUCUACGAUCAGUAGCUGAUGUGAGAGCAUGAUCAGCCACACGGGCACUGAGACACGGGCCCGACUCCUACGGGAGGCAGCAGUAAGGAAUAUUGGUCAAUGGACGCAAGUCUGAACCAGCCAUGCCGCGUGAAGGAUGAAGGUCCUCUGGAUUGUAAACUUCUUUUAUCUGGGACGAAAAAAGGGAAUUCUUUCUCACUUGACGGUACCAGAGGAAUAAGCACCGGCUAACUCCGUG
rnacentral:rRNA from 1 species